rnacentral:rRNA from 1 species
UACGUAGGGGGCGAGCGUUGUCCGGAAUCACUGGGCGUAAAGGGCGCGUAGGCGGCCUGAGAAGUCGCAGGUGAAAUCCCACGGCUCAACCGUGGAACUGCCUGCGAAACCAUUGGGCUUGAGGACAGGAGAGGGAAGCGGAAUUCCUGGUGUAGCGGUGAAAUGCGUAGAUAUCAGGAGGAACACCAGUGGCGAAGGCGGCUCCCUGGCCUGUACCUGACGCUGAGGCGCGAAAGCGUGGGUAGCAAACAGGAUUAGAUACCCGGGUAGUCC